GGUAGCGUGUCCGAGCGGCCGAAGGAGCGCGCCUCGAAAGCGCGUGACGGGCAACCCCCGUCCGUGGGUUCAAAUCCCACCGCUACCGC
rnacentral:tRNA from 1 species